rnacentral:rRNA from 1 species
AUUGAACGCUGGCGGCAGGCCUAACACAUGCAAGUCGAACGAGUGGCGGACGGGUGAGUAAUGUCUGGGAAACUGCCUGAUGGAGGGGGAUACCUACUGGAAACGGUAGCUAAUACCGCAUACCAUCGGAUGUGCCCAGAUGGGAUUAGCUAGUAGGUGGGGUAAAGGCUAACCUAGGCGACGAUCCCUAGCUGGUCUGAGAGGAUGACAAGCCACCAUGGAACUGAGACACGGUACAGACUCCGACGGGAGGAAGCAGUGGGUAAUAUUGCACAAUGGGCGCAAGCCUGAUGCAGCCAUGCCGCGUGUAGGAAGAAGGCCUUCGGGGUGUAAAGUACUUUCAGCGGUGAGGCGUUACCCGCAGAAGAAGCACCGGCUAACUCCGUGCCAGCAGCCGCGGUAAUAG